GGUGAACGCUGGCGGCGUGCUUAAGACAUGCAAGUCGAACGGCAGUCUUCGGACUGUAGUGGCGCACGGGUGAGUAACGCGUAACUGACCUGCCCCAAAGUCGCGGAUAACGAUUCGAAUGAAUCGCUAAUACGUGAUGUGCUGUCAGAUUGUGUUCUGCCAGUAAAGAUUGAUUGCUUUGGGAUGGGGUUGCGUUCCAUCAGCUAGUUGGUGGGGUAAAGGCCCACCAAGGCGACGACGGAUAGCCGGCCUGAGAGGGUGGCCGGCCACAGGGGCACUGAGACACGGGUCCCACUCCUACGGGAGGCAGCAGUUAGGAAUCUUCCACAAUGGGCGAAAGCCUGAUGGAGCGACGCCGCGCGAGGGAUGAAGGUCUUCGGAUCGUAAACCUCUGAAUCAGGGACGAAAGACACUUCGGUGGGAUGACGGUACCUGAGUAAUAGCACCGGCUAACUCCGUGCCAGCAGCCGCCGCUGUAA
rnacentral:rRNA from 1 species